ensembl:ncRNA lncRNA:CR44756 long non-coding RNA:CR44756
AACUCAUCACUGAGCGUUGAAAGGCACUGAUCGCGGACUGUCAAAAGGCCUGCAAUCAGCGUUUACACUCAUCAAGUUAAUGGAAUUAACAAAGAACAGUUUUGCUUGCCAUUGCAUUUAUCGCUUAAAUUAAGGGCUGGAAUGGCUGCAUUUUGGCCUCCACCAACGUAGUUGGCCACGUUCCAUGUGGCAGGCCGCAUUCCGAGCCUCAAAACGGCUUGCACAGCACGUAAGCACACUCCUCUGAGUCACUUUUAGCCAAGUCUCUCUGCAUUUCAUUAGCCCGGGCACAUGGGCAUAUGUGUAGCCAAGUCCAAUGCAAGACCCUGAACCCAAACUUUGAGGCUGUGAAAUCGGCUUAAGAUCUGGAGAUCUUGAGUUAUGGUCAGACCAAAGCAGAUCAAGGCAAUCCCGCAAAGAGAUUCAGCGUCCAACGCCCCAAAUGCUGGGUUCCAAUGUACAAUUGCAGAAGAGGAGAAAGUUGCAGUCGCGCAGAAUAGGGCCAAAACAUUUACUCAGUUGUCAGCUGGUUUCGUUUGGCUUGGGACCAUCGGUGACUAAUGUUUUAUGGCAGGAAUUGAUUAAUGCUAAUGCCACUUUGUCUGACUGUCAGGCUUGAUCGAUUAGAUUCAGGGUUAAGGUAAAAAGUCAACGCAAUGUGGGUGCGAAAUAUGCGAGCCGAGCGUCACGCUCAAUUGAUCAGUGAACAAGCGGCGAUAGAGAAUUGCAUUUGGCUUUCACUCGGCGGCAUAGGCAUCCAAAUCCCAUUCAUAUGACAUCAUUGUUAGCCAAAGCUGUUAAAAUACAACAUCCUGGAUCGUUAAAUCACUCUCGAAAUAGUUUACCCAGCGCUGUUUUCGUAUGGCAAUCAUGUGCCAAAUAAAAACUUCUAAGUGAGCCAGAGCAAAGCGGAGACAUUGCGCAUACGCCACAUGUGCCGACACUUAAGUUCUGUGUAAGACACGGCUCUAAACCAAGUUUACCCACACACCCAGUUGAUCGCAAAUGUUUGGCUGGCCACUUAAGCCCAGCUCCAACUCGAACUACGGCUAUCCAUAAAAGAUGUGCUUAAGUAUUCAUAAUUCGCCCUCCACGCCGUAGACGUAGAGCCAUAGAGCCAUACGUCCAAAACUCGUACUCCGACCAAUUACCAGCCAUGAAACCAGAAACACCUAAAGCAGAGAGUGCUGUGACCUCAUUAACUCUCAACUGGCCCGUGUUUGCUUUGGGCUCUUUAUCUGUACAAUACGGAUGUACGGAGCUAUGGAGCUAUGGAGCUAUGGAGCCAUGGUGGUUCCUAUGUGCGGCCGGCUUAUGUAGCGAUUAGAUAAUGCCUCACUGAAUUCAUCAGCCAUCAGCUAGCAGCCAACUGGCGACAGCUUGACACACAAGACACUACUGCCGAUCCUGCCACAGAUCGAAAGCCCUGCCCAAGAACCAAGUCGCAGUCAAGUCGAGCUAGGGUGAAAAUUAGCAUUCGAAAUCGUUUUCCAGGAAUUCACAGUGCACUCCUCCGAACUGGUUGAUUACGUCUGGAAAACCGAGUCGCACCUCAAAAUCAAAUGAACUCGUGUGUUUAUUGCCCAGAUCUUGGUAAAUUAUUUGUGUGCGAUGUACAUUUCAUUUAAAUUCCAGCUUCGUGCUCGGCCCAGCCAACGGAGAUGGUUAUAAAAGCGGCGAGCAUUAAAAUUGAAAAUCGUUUGGAACUGGUUCUGAAUUAUGCAUAGAAAUAAAUAAUUUAU